rnacentral:lncRNA from 1 species
UCAUCUAAAACAUUAUCCCCAUAAUUUAUUUGAAGCAAAAGUAUUAUUUACCUAUUUUUUGGAAUGACAUCAAAUUUUAUUAGAAAAGCUAGCAUGAUUACAAGAAUGAAAUAUAAACAAAAACAAUAGCAAUAAACUUUAAGAGGGAGACACAAAAUGGCAUCAAACUUUAAGCAAAAGAAUCCACCAUGAACUUCUUAAUACCUAUUUCACUUUAGCUUUCAUAACCUGCCCAUAUAAAAAGACAAAAAAUAGGUCAUUUGUAAGAGAAACAAUACAAAAAUGAAGGCCUAAACUAUCUGCAUAAAUAAAAAGAAUCAAGGUUGGAUGUUUUUUUCGAGAGUAGUUCCUGUCAUAUAUUCAUAUUCAAUAAAAGCAACAAUAAUCAAAGAAAUAAAAGUCAAAGUGAAUCCAAGUUUAAUUCACUCCAGGGAACUUAUAACAAAUUUUAAGUGUUCCAAAUUUGUAUAAACUGAUACUAUUUAGUUUAUAAUAUUAUAAAAGUGUAGCAUACCUUAAUUAAAAAGGUGUUCACAUUGUUUUUUCUAUUGAAGAUUAAGCUAAUUUUCCACAUUAUCAUUUUGAUUCGGUUUAGUUGUAAUGCACAAAUGCAACUAAAAUAAUUUAACAACUUGCUUUUCUCAACAACAAUUACAAUUUGGGGAAAAAAAAUGGUAAUUGUUAUAAAGGAAAAUGACUUUUAAAAGGGUAAGAUAUUUUUCAUAUCUUUAGGGAUUUAAUAGUUUUGUCUGGACUCUUAUCACAAUUAGACAUAAAAAGAACACUUUAUUCCUAUCUUCAGGUUUUUAAAACAUAAAAAUUGAACAAUCAGUAAGAUAGUUAUUACAGAGAAAGGCAUAGAGAACUUGUGGUCCCUAGGGCGAAACUCAAAAAAACACUGAAAUAAAAUAUUCUGAAGUAUAGAUACAGGGAAACUCGGAACUCAUAAAUCACUAACCAUAAAAUAUUCCAGAAAUCAGCACUAAUUCUAGCCCUUCUCAAAAUUGGAAUCAGUUAUGUACGCAUAUAUGAUUAUGCUGCGUCUCUAGGCUCGCUCGUCUCCUGUCUUCUCCAUGGCUUCUCGAAAUAGGGUUUAGGGUUUAGGCUGGCUUUACCACGAAGAAAGAUAAGGCGUGAGAUUUUUAGACGCUUCGAUUGCCGCCUUCAUCUUCAAUUUUCAGAAUCGCGCCCUUGCUAGUUAUUAGGCGUGCUUAUAACGUAAUUGAAGAUCG